UCUGGUUGAUCCUGCCAGUAGUUAUAUGCUUGUCUCAAAGAUUAAGCCAUGCAUGUCUAAGUACACACGAAUUAAAAGUGAAACCGCAAAAGGCUCAUUAUAUCAGUUAUGGUUCCUUAGAUCGUUAACAGUUACUUGGAUAACUGUGGUAAUUCUAGAGCUAAUACAUGCAAUUAAAACAUGAACCUUAUGGGACAUGUGCUUUUAUUAGGCUAAAACCAAGCGAUCGCAAGAUCGUUAUAUUGGUUGAACUCUAGAUAACAUGCAGAUCGUAUGGUCUUGUACCGACGACAGAUCUUUCAAAUGUCUGCCCUAUCAACUUUUGAUGGUAGUAUCUAGGACUACCAUGGUUGCAACGGGUAACGGGGAAUCAGGGUUCGAUUCCGGAGAGGAGCCUGAGAAACGGCUACCACAUCUAAGGAAGGCAGCAGGCGCGUAAAUUACCCACUCCCAGCUCGGGAGGUAGUGACGAAAAAUAACAAUACAGGACUCAUAUCCGAGGCCCUUGUAAUUGGAAUGAGUACACUUUAAAUCCUUUAACAAGGACCAAUUGGAGGGCAAGUCUGGUGCCAGCAGCCGCGGUAAUUCCAGCUCCAAUAGCGUAUAUUAAAGUUGUUGCGGUUAAAACGUUCGUAGUUGAACUUGUGCUUCAUACGGGUAGUACAACUUACAAUUGUGGUUAGUACUAUACCUUUAUGUAUGUAAGCGUAUUACCGGUGGAGUUCUUUAUAUGUGAUUAAAUACUUGUAUUUUUUCAUAUGUUCCUCCUAUUUAAAAACCUGCAUUAGUGCUCUUAAACGAGUGUUAUUGUGGGCCGGUACUAUUACUUUGAACAAAUUAGAGUGCUUAAAGCAGGCUUCAAAUGCCUGAAUAUUCUGUGCAUGGGAUAAUGAAAUAAGACCUCUGUUCUGCUUUCAUUGGUUUUCAGAUCAAGAGGUAAUGAUUAAUAGAAGCAGUUUGGGGCAUUAGUAUUACGACGCGAGAGGUGAAAUUCUUGACCGUCGUAAGACUAACUUAAGCGAAAGCAUUUGCCAAAGAUGUUUCAUUAAUCAAGAACGAAAGUUAGAGGUUCGAAGGCGAUCAGAUACCGCCCUAGUUCUAACCAUAAACGAUGCCAGCUAGCAAUUGGUGUAGCUACUUUUAUGGCUCUCUCAGUCGCUUCCCGGGAAACCAAAGCUUUUGGGCUCCGGGGGAAGUAUGGUUGCAAAGCUGAAACUUAAAGGAAUUGACGAAGGCACCACCAGGAGUGGAGCCUGCGGCUUAAUUUGACUCAACACGGGAAAACUUACCAGGUCCGAACAUAAGUGUGUAAGACAGAUUGAUAGCUCUUUCUCGAAUCUAUGGGUGGUGGUGCAUGGCCGUUCUUAGUUCGUGGAGUGAUUUGUCUGGUUAAUUCGAUAACGAACGAGACUCAAAUAUAUUAAAUAGAUAUCUUCAGGAUUAUGGUGCUGAAGCUUAUGUAGCCUUCAUUCAUGUUGGCAGUUAAAAUGCUUAUUGUGUUUGAAUGUGUUUAUGUAAGUGGAGCCGUACCUGUUGGUUUGUCCCAUUAUAAGGACACUAGCUUCUUAAAUGGACAAAUUGCGUCUAGCAAUAAUGAGAUUGAGCAAUAACAGGUCUGUGAUGCCCUUAGAUGUCCUGGGCUGCACGCGCGCUACAAUGAAAGUAUCAACGUGUAUUUCCUAGACCGAGAGGUCCGGGUAAACCGCUGAACCACUUUCAUGCUUGGGAUGUGAACUGAAACUGUUCACAUGAAACUUGGAAUUCCCAGUAAGUGUGAGUCAUUAACUCGCAUUGAUUACGUCCCUGCCCUUUGUACACACCGCCCGUCGCUACUACGAUUGAAUUAUUUAGUGAGGUCUCCGGACGUGAUCACUGUGACGCCUUGCGUGUUACGGUUGUUUCGCAAAAGUUGACCGAACUUAUUAUUUAGAGGAAGUAAAAGUCGUAACAAGGUUUCCGUAGGUGAACCUGCGGAAG
rnacentral:rRNA from 1 species